UCUUUUAGAAUUUGUGAAGGGCAAACUGCUCAGUAACACGUAACUAACCUACCCUUAGGUUAAGGAUAUCCUCGGGAAACUGAGGGUAAUACUUAAUAAGAGAUAUACCCUGGAAAGAUUUAUCUCUGAAAUUCGAGCCCAAGGAUGGGGUUGCGGUGGAUUAGGUUGUUGGCGGGGUAAUAGCCCACCAAGCCUGUGAUCCAUAAGGGCUCUUAGCGGAGAGGCCCUGAGAGGGAAUCUGAGACACUAUUCCCAGCCCCACGGGGUGCAGCAGUUAGGAAUAUUCUGCAAUGCGCGCAAGCGUGACAGAUUGAACCAGAGUGUUUUUCGUAUAGAAAAGCUUUUAUGAAAUGUAAAAAGUUUCAGGAAUAAGGACUGGGUAAGACUAGUGCCAGCCGCCGCGGUAAUACUAGCGGUCCAAGUCGCAGCCAUUUUUAUUGGGUCUAAAACAUCCGUAGCUUGCUUAGUAAGUUUCUUGUGAAAUUUUAUGUCUUAAACAUGGAGCGUGCAGGAAGUACUGUUAAGCUAGAGACUGGAAGACGUGAGAAGUACGUUUAAAGUAGCGGUAAAAUGUGUUAAUCUUAGACGGACUCACAAUAGCGAAGGCAUCUCACGAGGACAGUUCUGACAGUAAGGGAUGAAGGCUAGGGGCGCAAAACGGAUUAGAUACCCGUGUAGUCCUAGCAGUAAACACUGCACACUAAACAUUAGUGCCUCUUCGAGAGGCAUUAGUGCUGUAGGGAAGCCGUAGAGUGUGCUACCUGGGAAGUAUAGUCGCAAGGCCGAAACUUAAAGGAAUUGGCGGGGAGACACUACAACAGGUGACGCGUGCGGUUCAAUUAGAUUCUACACCGUGAACCUCACCAGGAGCGACAGCAG
rnacentral:rRNA from 1 species